ensembl:rRNA 5S_rRNA 5S ribosomal RNA
GUCUAUGGCCAUACUACCCUGAACAAGCCCAAUCUUGUCUGAUUUCAGAAGCUAAACAGGAUCAGGCAUCGUUAGUACUUGGAUGGGAGACCACCUAGGAAGACCAUGUGCUGUAGGCG